AGUCAAACAAUCGCCUUUUACCAUUUGUGUUUUAGCAGCAAGUAAAAGCCUGAACUAGAUUAGGGCCCCUUUCACUCCCGCUGUAUAAACAAAUUGCUGGGCGAGAUAAUGCUAAUAGCUGCAGCUGAAUGGGGCUUUGCUCUGCGGGCAACUGUGGGCUCAGUUAAAGCCAAUGGGCUAUGUGGGAGAAGCAGCUCAGUGAACUGGAAGAAGUGGGGUGGUUGGAAAACACAGAAACUGAAAAUACUGAAACCCCUGGGACAAAGAGCACUGAGAAACAGGGUUGUGCUCCUUGAGCACAUUGCAGAUGACGGAGGUUGGAUGAAGCCAGGUCUGGCUGAUGACGUUCCCAUCUUGUUACCCUGACACCGAGCAGCCCAGCAGACGGAUCUGGACGGGAAGGAAGGCCGGCGUCGGAAGUCCAGUGCUGGAAACCCGACAAGUAAUGAGAGCUGGAAGGGAGUCCAGUUCCUCCGGUGAUCCCAAGCAUUGCAGCAGCCAAGUUUAAGUCUUUCUGAGGAGUGUGCCUAAACUAACCCUAUGUGUUCCUCCACGGCAGCCCCUCCUACACAUACUAGGAUGCAUCAGGGCACUCCAGCCCUGGUCCAGAUGUCCCCGUCUCACAAAGGAGGCACCUCUCACUUGACUGUGUCAUGCCUUGCAAAAAUCAUAGCUAAUGGGGGCUGGCAACCUCUUUUCUAGCCCCUCCUGAGCAAUCCACCCCUUCUUCAGCAUUGAGGGAGCCUUGCCUUUAAAGCCAGCAGCCAGCAAUCAUUUCUCACUGACGCUGGCGGGGUAAUGAAGAUGUUUAGAAUGCCUGAAGAUCUCCAUAAUCUGGAGGUUGCAUUAUGGCUUAUUUUCAAAACUAUGAAAGCAUUGUUUCCCUUUUCCUAGUCUGAAGCUCUCCAGGUUUUUACGCACAUCACAGUGUUUAAAAAUAAAAUGAGUGCGUCGCUGUUUGCCAGCAAGCGCUUUAUGGAGUCAGUCUUUCAAAGCAGGAGCCUACUUGUGCGUACAUGAAAGAAGUAUGUGUGCGAAAUCUGCAUGUGCACCUACCUGAGUCACAUGUCAGCGAGGCGAACUGAGAAAAUGUUCCCACAGCUGGGGAGUGAUGGGGCAGGCUGUAAACGAGCACGUUUCCAUUUGGCAUGUACAGCCCUGGCACAAGGGAGCACAGACGCGGGUGCCAGGAAGCAUUCAGGUUUUGUGUGCACACAGAUCUGGGGCUAGCUCUUGCUCCUGUGAAAAUAACUUUAAAAGGGGCAGUAUCAAGCCCAGAAACAUAAAAAUGUUUGCCUUGGCUUUGAGCAAUUUUGUGAAAGAACUAAAACCAACAAACUAAAAAUAAAGGUUCGUAACUACAGUGUUGACACUGUAGCAAAGCAGAGGUUUUCCUUUCUUCAUGUCCUGCACUUGCUCUGCAGAUCUCCAUCCAUGCAUUAGCUUAUUAACACUUUUUGCUCCAAGUUUCUUUCAUUCCGUCACUUUGCAGUUUCUUAAUUUAGUUGUUACAUCUUGCAUACCAAUCUCCCCCUACUCCUAAAGCUGAGCCCGAGAUGUUUUAAAUGCCAGGAUCAGAGGUUUGCAUUGCAGUUAGUUCAUGAACGUGUAAUA
rnacentral:lncRNA from 1 species